CAGCUGACUACUUGACUAACUGUGCCCUAAAUGGAGAUGCCAUUGAUAUGCAUCAAUUAGUCUCUAGUCCUUAAUUUGCAGGUAUUAUACAGGCUGACAGCAGGUCAAUUCCCUUUAUAAGGUAUAGAAGAAGAUGAAGCUCAUGAUUUUAGUAGUUAUACAUCAUCCUAUUUCUCAAAUGUUUCAGCCUGCUAGUUUGAGUGAUAUGGUCUACUUGAGCCUCCUGGACAUUCUAUGUGUUUGUUUGGCCUUGCCCCCUUACUGCUAUUGCAAUAUGCUUUCUCUUUCAAAUUCAUCUGAUUCUAGUUCAAUCCCUCA
rnacentral:lncRNA from 1 species